UUCAGAUUGUUUUAAGUGAUAAUUUAACAAUAUUUUUCCAAAUAAAUGGAAAGAAACUUUUAUUUAUAUCAAAUAAUUGAGUGUCUCGACUGUGUGACAUUAUGUCUUGUGUGGUAUGGGGCUGCAGCUCACAUUCAGGAAGAAAAGAAAAUAGCCAACAACUUCUGUCGUUUCAUCGAUAUUAAAUCCAAAAGUGUCGACUGGAUUUACAUGAAAAGUCAGUUCAAGAAGACGAGAUGAAAAAUUUAAAAGAAAAGCUGAACAAGUCCCGCCUCAAGAUCAAAAGACUUAAUGAAAAAAAAA